GACGAACGCUGGCGGCGUGCUUAACACAUGCAAGUCGAACGGAAAGGCCCGGUUUUCGUUGUGGGCUCGGGUUGCGCACGGGUGGGAAGCACGUGUGUAACGUGCCCUUUACUCUCGGAUCACGUCUGGAAACUGGGGCUAAUACCGCUUAUUAGCUCCUGCUGCGUGGUGUGGGUUGGAAAGUUUCGGCGGGUGGGGUUGGACUCGCGGCUUAUCAGCUUGGUUGUGGGGUAGUGGCUUACGUAGUCGUCGACGGGUAGCCGGCCGGAGAGGGUGGCCGGCGACACGGCCCAGGAGAUAACGCGCAGAAGCCUACGGGAGGCAGGAGUGGGGAAUGUUGCACUAUGGCAGGAAGCCCGAGGCAGCAACGCCGCGUGCCGGAUGACGGCCUUCGGGUUGUAACCCGGUUGCGCCUGGGUCGAAGCGUGAGUGACGGUAAUGGGUAAAGAAGCACCGGCUAACUACGUG
rnacentral:rRNA from 1 species